rnacentral:lncRNA from 1 species
UAAUUAUUGGCAUGUUUUUUCUUCAUUUAAAUAAUUCUUAUUUUAAUAUUUUACAAAUUUUUGAUUUCACAUUUAAAAAAAUCAUAUAUCAAAAUCAUCUCCUUUCAUACAUAAACAGCUAUAAUAAUCUUUCUGUUGCUCUAAUUGAACCCAAAUGGUUUAGGGUAGUCUCAAUCACCACACCACACUUCCUGAAGUUUUAUAGGCUUGGCAGAAAAGAAAUGGCUGCAAUAAACCAAUAAAAAAUGGUUACCUAUUUAUACCUAUUUUAAUGUCAGAUUUUUGUAUUAUAUUUUAUAUUAAUUAUUUCUCAUUUUUUGACAAAAAUACAAUGAAAGUGAAAUAAAAAC